rnacentral:rRNA from 1 species
AUUGAACGCUGGCGGCAGGCUUAACACAUGCAAGUCGAGCGAGCGGCGGACGGGUGAGUAAUGUCUGGGAAACUGCCUGAUGGAGGGGGAUAACUACUGGAAACGGUAGCUAAUACCGCAUACCAUCAGAUGUGCCCAGAUGGGAUUAGCUAGUAGGUGGGGUAAUGGCUCACCUAGGCGACGAUCCGUAGCUGGUCUGAGAGGAUGACCAGCAACGCUGGAACUGAGACACGGUCUAGACUCCUACGGGAGGCAGAAGUGGGGAAUAUUGCACAAGGGGCGGAAGCCUGAUGCAGCCAUGCCGCGUGUGUGAAGAAGGCCUUCGGGUUGUAAAGCACUUUCAGCGAGGAGGCGGUACUCGCAGAAGAAGCACCGGCUAACUCCGUGCCAGCCGCCGCGGUAAUUC